rnacentral:piRNA from 1 species
UGACAGUCCAUGACCGAUGACGUGGUGGU